rnacentral:rRNA from 1 species
GAUGAACGCCGGCGGCGUGCCUAAUACAUGCAAGUCGAGCGAACAGACGAGGAGCUUGCUCCUCUGACGUUAGCGGCGGACGGGUGAGUAACACGUGGAUAACCUACCUAUAAGACUGGGAUAACUUCGGGAAACCGGAGCUAAUACCGGAUAAUAUAUUGAACCGCAUGGUUCAAUAGUGAAAGACGGUUUUGCUGUCACUUAUAGAUGGAUCCGCGCCGCAUUAGCUAGUUGGUAAGGUAACGGCUUACCAAGGCAACGAUGCGUAGCCGACCUGAGAGGGUGAUCGGCCACACUGGAACUGAGACACGGUCCAGACUCCUACGGGAGGCAGCAGUAGGGAAUCUUCCGCAAUGGGCGAAAGCCUGACGGAGCAACGCCGCGUGAGUGAUGAAGGUCUUCGGAUCGUAAAACUCUGUUAUUAGGGAAGAGCAAAUGUGUAAGUAACUAUGCACGUCUUGACGGUACCUAAUCAGAAAUCCACGGCUAACUACGUG